rnacentral:lncRNA from 1 species
GAAAACGAACUCAAAAUGAGUUUUUUUUUUGUUUCGUGACGAUUGCAAGGGUAUCAAGUUAUCAAAUGGUACGAUACUACUUUCAUUCUAAUUUGUAGGAGCCACAUCAAAUUUCAGUGAUAGUGGACCCUCACCAAUCUCUAAUCCCAUCACUCACCAAAAACAGAAAGGGAUACUUUUUCUGAGUGCUGCCCAGUUAGAAUUGCUUACCUUGUAUGUUUCUUUAUUGUGAUUUUGAAGGUAAAAAAUGGAGAUUUGCUAUUGGUUGAUUGGUUGGUAAUUAACGAUCUUUUUUAGUUUAUUUAUUUUUGCAAAAGUGCUGACUCGGAGAUUAUAAACUUGCAUAUCAGAGUGUGUUUAAGGGUUUAGCAUUUUAUAAGUAAAUUAUUGAGGUUUUGGGGGUUUAGCUGUAACAACUAGAGAAGAAUAUCUUAUCCUAGUUAGCUGCUGAUAUCACUUCACAUCAACAUUUGUUUUGGAACUUUGCCUUGUUAAAUGUGACGUGCUUACAUGAUGCCAUCUCCAUUUUUUUAGUAAGGUGUCUGGCACAAUGUCACUCAAGGAAUAAUGUCAGAUUGCCAUGACAGAUAAUAAAGAAUCAGACUUCCUUCAUAUAAAACCAAAUGAAAAUGUUAUGUGAAGACAACAUUUGUACUAACUAGUCUAAGCAGGGAGCAAAAUAUUGUGCAUUGUAUGUUAAAUGUUGAGAUGAUGAUUGCUUUCUUUUUUAUGUAAUUCUCUUCCCUCUCACCAAGGAGCAGUGCUUAUGCUAUUUUGUGAAAGAGAUGCUAUUAAGGGUUUCUGAUGUAGUCAAUUUAUGAUGAGAAUGUGACCCUCACUACCAUGCCUUCACUUUUCUGGUUGUUGUUGGUUUUGUACUGCAAUAAUUCUGGAUUGCUUUUAGGUAUGACUGGACUAUAGGAUAAAAUUUUGGCAAAGUGAUUAUAUAUCUUGAGGAUGACAGCUCCUAGCUUCCUG